UCUCUCUUCCUGGAAGCCUGAGUCCCCAACGUCUCUCGACAGUCCUUCGCCAUGGCAAGAGGAAGCAAAAGCAGGAGGACAAAAUCCCAUUCCCAUGCAUCCGGCAAGAAGAAGAGAAAUGCAACUGUUCAAGAAGAACAACAGCAAGUAGCACCGGUCGAAACUGCCGGCCAAAGCUCUAAUAUCUCACUGCUUCCCCUGAUGAUUCUCACAGACAUUCUCUUGAGACUGCCUUUCAAAACCAUAUUCAGUUGCAGGUGCGUGUGCAAAACAUGGCUCAGUGUUCUCUUAGACCCUGACUUCGCCCAAUUGUAUCAAGCAAGAGCGCCCUCCAGCAUCAUCCUCCAACCUCAAAACGACAUCCUUAAACAAUACCUCUACGCGGUCGAUCUCGAGGCAUCUGACAGUAGUAAUCAUGCUAUUAGUAUUAGUCACUAUAGCGUUAGAGUGAAGUUUGACACUCAAACUCAAUUGUCUCCCCAAAGCAAACUCAGUCUGGUGGAUUCUUGCAAUGGUUUGAUUCUUCUGUGCGAGUCGUUCCGCAUGGACCUGUUGGCAGAGAGGUUAUAUGUAUGUAACCCGAUAACGGGCGAGUUCGUGAUUGUUAGACCCAUUAGGGCCAACCUGCCGCAUUGGGUGUCUCCGCGGCUUGGGUUCUGUCCCAAUUCUCGGAAAUUCAAGGUGGUUAUAUUUGUGAACAAGGAGGAUGGAGCUGAUGAAAAAAUGCCCACUGAUGUGUACACCCUCGGCAGAGAGGGAGGUUGGAGGAGUGUUCUAAUGAAGUAUGAUGUGCGCAGCAGCGUGCGUGACACUACCUUUCUGAAUGGAUUUAUUCAUUUUCUCUGGGGCCGUGCUAUACCUGAAUUAUUAAUACGUUCCUUUGAUGUCGAGAACGAGAAGUUCCAACCGGUUCCACCACCUCCCCUCCUUGAUUCAUCUCUAAAAACAGGGGGGCAAAGGAUGAGCCUGGGCGUACUGGGAGGCUGUCUUGCCUUGGCUGAAUUUCCUUAUGAUGAUGGUAGGUGCUUUCACGUUUGGGUAAUGAAGGAAUAUGGUGUCCAAUCGUCUUGGACUAAGGAAUGGUCCAUUAAUGUCCACAUCGACAUACCUAUGUAUUCCGUACCCUGUUGUCAUAUAGUAGGGUUGCUCGGCAAUGGAGACAUCUUGAUCUUACAUCAUGAGAAAACUAUGUUUUCUUUCAAUCGAGCGAAUCGUACUUGCAAAUAUCACAGAAUUGACAAAAUACAUUACUUUCAAGCGCUGCCUUAUGUUCCCAACUUUUCUUCACUAACGGAGAUCGCAAGUGGAGAAGAGGUGUUCAAUGCCAGAUUCAGAGAACGAUGAGGGAUUACGUGUCAAAGGAUGCAAUACAAGCAGCACAGCGAUCAGCAGCUCUAUAUGUUUCUCUUUAUUCAUGUUCUAUAAUAACAUCUUGAGAAUGUUUUAAUUGUCAUUGGAAGAUUCAGUCCUGAAGAAGGUAGAAAUUAUGGGGAUUAUCAGCUUCUGAUGGGCAGAUGAAAUCUACAGCAUCUUCAUACUUUGAAUAAUACCUACAAAGAAAAAACUUAUUUUGAAUAAUUUUUGGGGACAAGACCUUCUAUUAAAAUACUUGGCUUGGAUGUUAGUCCAGCUUCUGGGGCCAAGUGCAGACAAUCAUUUACAGCCUGCUUGCUCAUGCUGGAUAUGUGCUUUAUUUUACAAUAAAACUCC